UCUCGCCUCGCAUCACCUGCGGGAGAGGAGGCAGUCACACCAAUUUCACCGCGCGUCGAGGGAGUAGGCGGUCGGAGGAGAAGGCGGCGGUUUUGAUCUGUGAUCUGCCUCGACCUGGGAGGUGGCGGCGGUUUCGAUUUGUGAUCUGCCACGGCGUGGGAGGCGGCAGAUCGAUCCGGUCGGAUGCGCCCGCGCUGCUGCGCUGUACCUCCUCCCAUUCGAGCAGAUCGGCUGAUGAGGCAGAUUGGCCGCAGGUGGCGGAUCCGUGGAUAUGAGGUGUUGGAAAUGCGGUUCAGAGUGACGAGAUGAGGAAGCUCAUGUGGCGCUGCUAUCGGAAGGAACAUCUACUCCGCUGGAAUAACACCAACAUAGGAAGAGGCUCUCCAAUAUGAUAUUGAAUCAACUGAUACGAAUACUGUGGCUGAAGCACUUGCAAGGUCCAAGAAGGGUUAGUAAUUAUAUCGCUGCGUGCAUCUUUCCUCACCCUAAUUAGUUCCUUACCAGGAGAUGAGUCCAUGCAUGCAGAGUAUGUCUGGUUCCCAAAAACUCUUGUCACCAGCCACUAUCUACGUAUACGAGUGGUCUAUAUGAUACCAAAAUCUUAGCAUCAAUGUAUCACUGCAAUUUUCUGUGUCAUCUGAAUUUAGCUGCAGGAAUUGUUGUAUCUUUGCCUUUCUUCUUCAUAUUCUACUAGAUCGGUGCUACUAACUGUUUGAGUAUUUCUCAAUUAGACUGAUUGUGUUGUUGUAGUUCUCUGAUUUUGGAAAUUGGAAGACAAAAACAACUCUUCACCCUGAACUUUUUUUAAUUGUACCAUUGCUGUUGGAGAUUUUGGUGCCCGGAAAUAAAGAUAAUAGGAUAUGAUGUACAUACAACAACAUCCAUCCUCACUAACAGUGGUGUUACUGGUUGUGGCUGCACUGCAAUUGCAAAUUCUGUCUACGAGUGGACAGUAAAUCAACAACAAAGCAUGAUAAAGGCAAAUGAUAUGUUUCUUCCUGGCCAGAUGGCAUUUAUUUUACAAUAUGGAGAAUAGAGUUAACAGUGAUAUUCCAACAUUUCUCUUCACAGGAGCAAAGUUGUUUGCCCUGUCCCAGAGGCAAUGAUCAUUGUCAGCGUGGAUGGCUCUGUCUGUACUUGACACGAUUGCCAACAUCAUGUCAUACCUUACACUUGGAUCAUCAGGGAAGGUCUUCAAGAAGAAGAAAUGGAAGAGGUAUACAAAAGGUUUGCUCCUCCUCUCCUCUUUCGCUAGAUUUUCCCAAUAUGAUCAUUACACACAAUGAAGAUAUUUACAGCUACAGGAAGGAUUCAAAGAUGAUUAGUACCUGCUUUUCAUGGUUAUUCAAGUCGAGUGCUGAGUGGAUUCUAUGCUAAUCUUAAUCAAAUAGCCAGGACUAAUUAGAGCGGUCCCUACCAUGUAAAUUGUAGUUCAAGGGAUACUUAGUCACUACUAUGUAAAUUGUAGUUGAACAGAUACUCCAUUUGUAAAUGUGCGCACAUGUGCAUCACUCCAGAAUCACUGUUAAUUUGCUAUACAUUCUUAGCCACUGACAGAAGUGCGCUGUCCCUGCAAGAAAGAAAUCACGUUUGCACUGUA